rnacentral:rRNA from 1 species
AUUGAACGCUGGCGGCAUGCUUUACACAUGCAAGUCGAACGGUAACAGGCCGCAAGGUGCUGACGAGUGGCGAACGGGUGAGUAAUGCAUCGGAACGUGCCCAGUCGUGGGGGAUAACGCAGCGAAAGCUGCGCUAAUACCGCAUACGAUCUAUGGAUGAAAGCGGGGGACCGUAAGGCCUCGCGCGAUUGGAGUGGCCGAGGUCAGAUUAGGGAGUUGGUGGGGUAAAGGCUCACCAAGCCAACGAUCUGUAGCUGGUCUGAGAGGACGACCAGCCACACUGGGACUGAGACACGGCCCAGACUCCUACGGGAGGCAGCAGUGGGGAAGUGUGUACAAUGGGCGCAAGCCUGAUCCAGCAAUGCCGCGGGCAGGAAGAAGGCCUUCGGGUUGUAAACUGCUUUUGUACGGAACGAAACGGUCCCGGUUAAUACCUGGGGCUAAUGACGGUACCGUAAGAAUAAGCACCGGCUAACUACGUGCCAGCCGCCGCCGUAAGAC